rnacentral:rRNA from 1 species
UACGUAGGGUGCAAACGUUGCUCGGAAUCAUUGGGCGUAAAGCGCACGUAGGCGGCCUCAAAAGUCGGAUGUGAAAUCCCGUGGCUCAACCAUGGACGUGCAUUCGAAACUGCGAGGCUUGAGUAUGGAAGAGGGUCGCGGAAUUCCCGGUGUAGAGGUGAAAUUCGUAGAUAUCGGGAGGAACACCAGUGGCGAAGGCGGCGACCUGGGCCAAUACUGACGCUGAGGUGCGAAAGCGUGGGGAGCAAACAGG